ACUUAGAAAUUGUAUUAAUUUGUAUUGUUAAAAAUUGGUGUGGCCGAUGGAAUAAAUAGAUAGUGAGACAUGUGUCACGCAUACCUCAUGUUGACAUACAUGAAUCAAUUUUUAACAAUAGAAAUUAAUGGAAAUUUUAACA
rfam:Gossypium raimondii Chr09_contig_991, whole genome shotgun sequence.